UUUAGGUCAUCAUCAUGACGAGCACCAUGGUGGUGGAAGUGGAAGUAUCUUCGACAAAGCUGCCAGCUUUGCUAACGGCAUCUUGUAAUGAAUUCUCUGUGAAGGAUUCUGCAUUUAAAUGGUUAGGUGAAGAAAAUAUCUCUUUGAAAUAAAAUUUUUUUCUCCAUGCAA